UACGUAUGUCACGAGCGUUAUCCGGAUUUAUUGGGCGUAAAGCGCGUCUAGGUGGUUAUGUAAGUCUGAUGUGAAAAUGCAGGGCUCAACUCUGUAUUGCGUUGGAAACUGUAUAACUAGAGUACUGGAGAGGUAAGCGGAACUACAAGUGUAGAGGUGAAAUUCGUAGAUGAUUUGUUAGGAAUGCCGAUGGGGAAAGCCAGCUUACUGGACAGAUACUGACGCUGAAGCGCGAAGGCGUGGGUAGCAAACAGGAUUACGAUACCCGCGUAGUCC
rnacentral:rRNA from 1 species